UGCACUUCGCUAGGAUGAGGCCAGCAUCGGUUUCCGUAGGGGGAUAAAAGCCUUAGGAAUGUGGCUCUUCGGAGUGUUAUAGCCUAUUGUAUAAUACCCUUGUGGGGACCGAGGUACGCGCUCGGCAAGGAUGCUGGCGUAAUGGUCAUCAACGA
rnacentral:rRNA from 1 species